UACAGAGGGUGCAAACGUUAAUCGGAAUUACUGGGCGUAAAGGGUGCGUAGGCGGGUCUUUAAGUCAGGGGUGAAAUCCUGGAGCUCAACUCCAGAACUGCCUUUGAUACUGGCGAUCUCGAGUCCGGGAGAGGUGAGUGGAACUGCGAGUGUAGAGGUGAAAUUCGUAGAUAUUCGCAAGAACACCAGUGGCGAAGGCGGCUCACUGGCCCGGUACUGACGCUGAGGUGCGAAAGCGUGGGGAGCAAACAGG
rnacentral:rRNA from 1 species